rnacentral:rRNA from 1 species
UACGUAGGGGGCUAGCGUUGUCCGGAUUUAUUGGGCGUAAAGAGCGUGUAGGCGGCCAGGUAGGUCUGCUGUGAAAACUCGAGGCUCAACCUCGAGACGUCGGCGGAAACCAUCUGGCUAGAGUCCGGAAGAGGAGAGUGGAAUUCCCGGUGUAGCGGUGAAAUGCGCAGAUAUCGGGAAGAACACCUAUGGCGAAGGCAGCUCUCUGGGACGGUACUGACGCUGAGACGCGAAAGCGUGGGGAGCGAACAGG